rnacentral:lncRNA from 1 species
AUGCCAGUAUCUAAAUAUCAUGUACCACACAAACCAAGCAGAGGAUAAGAGGGGAGUCAUUUGUGGAUUAAUAUUGUACCCAUUUGACUGAUGAGAAAACUAAGACUCAGACUAUGUGGUCUGAGGUCACAUAGCAAGCAUGUGAUUGUUGUCAGGCUUGACCUCACAUCCCUCUGUACCACCACACCUGUCCUUGUAGCAUACUGACAGAAUUGCACACAUAAGCAUGUUGCUGGAUCCCAGGGACAGUGCUCACCCUGACUCCCACCUCCACCCCACUCAGGAAACGGAAUUUUCUCCUGCCUCAGCCUCCUGAGUAACUGGGAUUACAGGCCUGCACCACCAUGCCCGGCUAAUUUUGCAUUUUUAGUGGAGACGGGAUUUCUCCAUGUUGGUCAGGCUGGACUCGAACUCCUGACCUCAGGUGAUC